CUUUGCUUUGUUAAAAUCUUUGUAACAUAAACAUUCUUCCCUAAGAAUUCGUUUAAAAUACAACUUAAGUUAUAAAAUGUGCACUUGAAAAUAAUUACGAUUUAUAAAGCUUGACAUUAUUUACUUUGGAAAGAAAAUAAGAUGAUAUCAAGUUAUGCAAUCAUGUGCUUGUUCAUAAUUUAUUCCGAACAGCCUUUUAUCAUUGACAGUAUGACAGUUGAUAAUUAUCAUAACUAUGAUAAUUUUGAUCUACAUAUAUGCAAAGAGCCUGCUUCUAUAUCAAAUGGCGCUGUUACGGUUAGGAAGGGUAUUGCAGUGUAUUC